UGAAAAGUUUGAGAAGAACAGAUGAUGAAUGGGAAAACAUGCAAAUACCCUGUAAGUAAGGAGAUCAGGGUGACUUUUGCUUAAUUUCAGGUGACAGCAGUUUUGCAAUGAAAAAAAUUGCAUAUUUUUCGACAUUCCUCAUGUGCAGUGACGUAGCUUCAACACCUGCAUCCAUCAAUGCCACAAAUUCUAAUUAUGUAACUGACAUUAGCAAGAUGUUCAGACAAAACAAGGAACACCCAAACAUGACUGGACAGGAUCUGCUUGAAUACUUGAAGAGCUGCAUUUAAUUGUAGCAGGCAAGACUACUUUGUUUUUUUAAAAUAUAUUUACUUGAUUACCAAAAAUUAUUUCCCAUUUACAACACCUGCUUGAACACAAAAUAUGUUCAGUGAUAUUUUAAACAUUUCUUUGUGCAUUGCUUAUUACUUGCUGGUAAUUAUGCAUUAGUCAGUGUACAAUUUCAUCGUUCUCCAGUCAAAAUA